CGCCCACUAGCUCCGUCGGUAAAGCAUGAGAAUCUUAAUCUCAGGGCUGCGGGUUCGAACCCCAUGUUGGGUGA